UGAUGACAAGUGAGACAAUGGA
rnacentral:miRNA from 1 species